rnacentral:misc_RNA from 1 species
GCUCGUCGUCCACGAGGCUCCGAGGCACGCAGGCUUGGGGGCCGAGGUUUCGAGCCUGAUCCACGAACGGGCCAUGCUCGACCUCGAGGCUCCGGUGGGGCGUGUGACCGGUUUCGACGUUCCUUUCCCGCAGUUCGCGAACGAAGACGAUUACCUGCCGUCCGUCGACCGAAUCGUGUUCGGCGCGCGCAAGGUCCUCGACUUCUGAUGGCCGACUUCAAGCUCCCUGACCUCGGCGAGGGCGUGACCGAAGCCGAGAUCGAUCGCUGGCUCGUGAAGGAAGG